GGUUAAGCGACUAAGCGUACACGGUGGAUGCCCUGGCAGUCAGAGGCGAUGAAGGACGUGCUAAUCUGCGAAAAGCGUCGGUAAGGUGAUAUGAACCGUUAUAGCCGGCGAUGUCCGAAUGGGGAAACCCAGUGCAAUUCGUUGCACUAUCGUUAACUGAAUACAUAGGUUAACGAGGCGAACCGGGGGAACUGAAACAUCUAAGUACCCCGAGGAAAAGAAAUCAACCGAGAUUCCCCCAGUAGCGGCGAGCGAACGGGGAGCAGCCCAGAGUCUGAAUCAGCUUGUGUGUUAGUGGAACGGUCUGGAAAGUCCGACGGUACAGGGUGAUAGUCCCGUACACCAAAAUGCACAGGUUGUGAACUCGAAGAGUAGGGCGGGACACGUGGUAUCCUGUCUGAAUAUGGGGGGACCAUCCUCCAAGGCUAAAUACUCCUGACUGACCGAUAGUGAACCAGUACCGUGAGGGAAAGGCGAAAAGAACCCCGGCGAGGGGAGUGAAAAAGAACCUGAAACCGUGUACGUACAAGCAGUGGGAGCACCUUCGGGUGUGACUGCGUACCUUUUGUAUAAUGGGUCAGCGACUUAUAUUCUGUAGCAAGGUUAACCGUAUAGGGGAGCCGCAGGGAAACCGAGUCUUAACUGGGCGUUAAGUUGCAGGGUAUAGACCCGAAACCCGGUGAUCUAGCCAUGGGCAGGUUGAAGGUUGGGUAACACUAACUGGAGGACCGAACCGACUAAUGUUGAAAAAUUAGCGGAUGACUUGUGGCUGGGGGUGAAAGGCCAAUCAAACCGGGAGAUAGCUGGUUCUCCCCGAAAGCUAUUUAGGUAGCGCCUCGUGAAUUCAUCUUCGGGGGUAGAGCACUGUUUCGGCUAGGGGGUCAUCCCGACUUACCAACCCGAUGCAAACUACGAAUACCGAAGAAUGUUAUCACGGGAGACACACGGCGGGUGCUAACGUCCGUCGUGAAGAGGGAAACAACCCAGACCGCCAGCUAAGGUCCCAAAGUCAUGGUUAAGUGGGAAACGAUGUGGGAAGGCACAGACAGCCAGGAUGUUGGCUUAGAAGCAGCCAUCAUUUAAAGAAAGCGUAAUAGCUCACUGGUCGAGUCGGCCUGCGCGGAAGAUGUAACGGGGCUAAACCAUGCACCGAAGCUGCGGCAGCGACACUAUGUGUUGUUGGGUAGGGGAGCGUUCUGUAAGCCUGCGAAGGUGUGCUGUGAGGCAUGCUGGAGGUAUCAGAAGUGCGAAUGCUGACAUAAGUAACGAUAAAGCGGGUGAAAAGCCCGCUCGCCGGAAGACCAAGGGUUCCUGUCCAACGUUAAUCGGGGCAGGGUGAGUCGACCCCUAAGGCGAGGCCGAAAGGCGUAGUCGAUGGGAAACAGGUUAAUAUUCCUGUACUUGGUGUUACUGCGAAGGGGGGACGGAGAAGGCUAUGUUAGCCGGGCGACGGUUGUCCCGGUUUAAGCAUGUAGGCUGAUUGUCCAGGCAAAUCCGGAUAAUCAAGGCUGAGGUGUGAUGACGAGGCACUACGGUGCUGAAGUAACAAAUGCCCUGCUUCCAGGAAAAGCCUCUAAGCAUCAGGUAACAUCAAAUCGUACCCCAAACCGACACAGGUGGUCAGGUAGAGAAUACCAAGGCGCUUGAGAGAACUCGGGUGAAGGAACUAGGCAAAAUGGUGCCGUAACUUCGGGAGAAGGCACGCUGGUGUGUAGGUGAAGCCCCUGCGGGUGGAGCUGAGACCAGUCGAAGAUACCAGCUGGCUGCAACUGUUUAUUAAAAACACAGCACUGUGCAAACACGAAAGUGGACGUAUACGGUGUGACGCCUGCCCGGUGCCGGAAGGUUAAUUGAUGGGGUUAUCCGUAAGGAGAAGCUCUUGAUCGAAGCCCCGGUAAACGGCGGCCGUAACUAUAACGGUCCUAAGGUAGCGAAAUUCCUUGUCGGGUAAGUUCCGACCUGCACGAAUGGCGUAAUGAUGGCCAGGCUGUCUCCACCCGAGACUCAGUGAAAUUGAACUCGCUGUGAAGAUGCAGUGUACCCGCGGCAAGACGGAAAGACCCCGUGAACCUUUACUAUAGCUUGACACUGAACAUUGAGCCUUGAUGUGUAGGAUAGGUGGGAGGCUUUGAAGCGUGGACGCCAGUCUGCGUGGAGCCAACCUUGAAAUACCACCCUUUAAUGUUUGAUGUUCUAACGUUGGCCCCUUACCGGGGUUGCGGACAGUGUCUGGUGGGUAGUUUGACUGGGGCGGUCUCCUCCCAAAGCGUAACGGAGGAGCACGAAGGUUAGCUAAUCCUGGUCGGACAUCAGGAGGUUAGUGCAAUGGCAUAAGCUAGCUUGACUGCGAGCGUGACGGCGCGAGCAGGUGCGAAAGCAGGUCAUAGUGAUCCGGUGGUUCUGAAUGGAAGGGCCAUCGCUCAACGGAUAAAAGGUACUCCGGGGAUAACAGGCUGAUACCGCCCAAGAGUUCAUAUCGACGGCGGUGUUUGGCACCUCGAUGUCGGCUCAUCACAUCCUGGGGCUGAAGUAGGUCCCAAGGGUAUGGCUGUUCGCCAUUUAAAGUGGUACGCGAGCUGGGUUUAGAACGUCGUGAGACAGUUCGGUCCCUAUCUGCCGUGGGCGCUGGAGAAUUGAGGGGGGCUGCUCCUAGUACGAGAGGACCGGAGUGGACGCAUCACUGGUGUUCGGGUUGUCAUGCCAAUGGCACUGCCCGGUAGCUAAAUGCGGAAGAGAUAAGUGCUGAAAGCAUCUAAGCACGAAACUUGCCCCGAGAUGAGUUCUCCCUGAGACUUUAAGUCUCCUGAAGGAACGUUGAAGACGACGACGUUGAUAGGCCGGGUGUGUAAGCGCAGCGAUGCGUUGAGCUAACCGGUACUAAUGAACCGUGAGGCUUAACCUU
rnacentral:rRNA from 1 species